UCCGGCUUUUCCCCGCAUGUCAAACCCAGGUAAGGUUCUUCGCGUUGCCUCGAAUUAAGCAACAUGCUCCGCCGCUUGUGCGGGCCCCCGUCAAUUCCUUUGAGUUUUAGCCUUGCGGCCGUACUCCCCAGGCGGGGCACUUAAUGCGUUAGCUACGGCACGGAACGCUUUGGUAACGCCCCACACCUAGUGCCCAACGUUUACAGCGUGGACUAC
rnacentral:misc_RNA from 1 species